GGAAUAUUGGACAAUGGGCGCAAGCCUGAUCCAGCAAUGCCGCGUGUGUGAAGAAGGCCUGCGGGUUGUAAAGCACUUUCAGCAGCCAAGAAAAGCCCGAGGCUAAUACCUUCGGGUCUUGACAUUAACUGCAGAAGAAGCACCGGCUAACUCUGUGCCAGCAGCCGCGGUAAUACAGAGGGUGCAAGCGUUAAUCGGAAUUACUGGGCGUAAAGCGCGCGUAGGCGGUCUGUUGAGUCGGAUGUGAAAGCCCCGGGCUUAACCUGGGAAUUGCAUUCGAUACUGGCAGGCUAGAGUAUGGUAGAGGGAAGUGGAAUUCCGGGUGUAGCGGUGAAAUGCGUAGAUAUCCGGAGGAACACCAGUGGCGAAGGCGGCUUCCUGGACCAAUACUGACGCUGAGGUGCGAAAGCGUGGGGAGCAAAC
rnacentral:rRNA from 1 species